rnacentral:rRNA from 1 species
UACGGGGGGGGGCAAGCGUUGUUCGGAAUUAUUGGGCGUAAAGAGCUCGUAGGCGGUUUGUCGCGUCUGCCGUGAAAGUCCGGGGCUCAACUCCGGAUCUGCGGUGGGUACGGGCAGACUAGAGUGAUGUAGGGGAGACUGGAAUUCCUGGUGUAGCGGUGAAAUGCGCAGAUAUCAGGAGGAACACCGAUGGCGAAGGCAGGUCUCUGGGCAUUAACUGACGCUGAGGAGCGAAAGCAUGGGGGAGCGAACAGG